GACGAACGCUGGCGGCGUGCUUAACACAUGCAAGUCGAACGGAAAGGCCCUGCUUUUGUGGGGUGCUCGAGUGGCGAACGGGUGAGUAACAAGUGAGUAACCUGCCCUUGACUUUGGGAUAACGUCAGGAAACUGGGGCUAAUACCGGAUAGGAGCUCCUGCUGCAUGGUGGGGGUUGGAAAGUUUCGGCGGUUGGGGAUGGACUCGCGGCUUAUCAGCUUGUUGGGGGGGUAGUGGCUUACCAAGGCUUUGACGGGUAGCCGGCCUGAGAGGGUGACCGGCCACAUUGGGACUGAGAUACGGCCCAGACUCCUACGGGAGGCAGCAGUGGGGAAUAUUGCACAAUGGGCGGAAGCCUGAUGCAGAAACGCCGCGUGCGGGAUGACGGCCUUCGGGUUGUAAACCGCUUUCGCCUGUGACGAAGCGUGAGUGACGGUAAUGGGUAAAGAAGCACCGGCUAACUACGUG
rnacentral:rRNA from 1 species